rnacentral:rRNA from 1 species
AUGUUCUCCUUGUCUCUUUCUCUUUUCUCAGUUUUGUCGCCGAGUUCCUUUUGGCCGACUCUGACUAGUCGGCUUGUUCUCGAUAGAGCCCUCUUCUUCGGCCUGCCGGCGGGUCGGACGCGGAGCGCCGAUUCGUCCCUGACCGGACGCAGCACGAUCUGGAGGACCCCGACUUGGGGGCGGCCGCUAUGGACGACAACACCGAGCCGGGUGGUGGCCAAGGCGGCGGCGAAGCAGGCGACUCCGGGCAUGGAGUCACCUUCGACGACUGGCCGGACGACGACGAGGCCGAAGUCGUCCCGCGCCGUCAGCCGGCAUCUGGCCGCAGCGCGGGUUCCUCCGCUGCACCGCCUGCUCGGGGCGGCGGGCAAAAGCGUCGCGCCGCACAGGGUUUGUUCGGCAGCCGGACGAAGAAGCCCAGGGGCGAAGCGGCGGCGACCAGGCGGGAGGAGGCGGCCGCGAAGGCGGCUCGCUUCCGCAAGACGGUGA